CCUACGGGGGGCAGCAGUGGGGAAUAUUGGACAAUGGGCGAAAGCCUGUUCCAGCCAUGCCGCGUGUGUGAAGAAGGCCUUCGGGUUGUAAAGCACUUUCAGUGGGGAAGAAAGCCUUGGGGCUAAUACCCUCGAGGAAGGACAUCACCCACAGAAGAAGCACCGGCUAACUCCGUGCCAGCAGCCGCGGUAAUACGGAGGGUGCGAGCGUUAAUCGGAAUUACUGGGCGUAAAGCGCGCGUAGGCGGUCUGAUAAGCCGGUUGUGAAAGCCCCGGGCUCAACCUGGGAACGGCAUCCGGAACUGUCAGGCUAGAGUGCAGGAGAGGAAGGUAGAAUUCCCGGUGUAGCGGUGAAAUGCGUAGAGAUCGGGAGGAAUACCAGUGGCGAAGGCGGCCUUCUGGACUGACACUGACGCUGAGGUGCGAAAGCGUGGGUAGCAAACAGGAUUAGAUACCCCGGUAGUC
rnacentral:rRNA from 1 species